rnacentral:tRNA from 1 species
ACGCUACGGACUUCUACAUGUCGAUAUGGACAGUAAUGAAAUUUUCAGUAAUAAAGAAAAUCCGUCGAUUUGAAAAAUCGUGAGGGUUCAAGUCCCUCUAUCCCCAAAAG